rnacentral:rRNA from 1 species
GACGAAUGCUGGCUGCGUGCUUAACACAUGCAAGUCGAACGGUGAAGGAGGGCUUGCCCUCCGGAUCAGUGGCGAACGGGUGAGUAACACGUGGGCAACCUGCCCCUCACUCUGGGAUAACGCCGGGAAACCGGCGCUAAUACCGGAUACGACCAGGCGCGACAGCUCGCCUGGUGGCAAGAAGUUCGGUAAGGGAUGGGCCCGCGGCCUAUCAGCUUGUUGGUGGGGUAACGGCCCACCAAGGCGACGACGGGUAGCCGGCCUGAGAGGGCGACCGGCCACACUGGGACUGAGACACGGCCCAGACUCCUACGGGAGGCAGCAGUGGGGAAUAUUGCGCAAUGGGCGAAAGCCUGACGCAGCGACGCAGCGUGAGGGACGAAGGCCUUCGGGUUGUAAACCUCUUUCAGCGGGGACGAAGCGAAAGUGACGGUACCCGCAGAAGAAGCACCGGCUAACUACGUGCCAGCCGCCGCCGUAA